AUAAGGCCACGUCAAGAUUCUUGCUGUUUUGUGGAUAAGGCUGGGUCCCAACCCCUUUGAUCCAAGAAAACCAACCUCUCAUUUUUUGCGAGAACUCCUACUCAUGCUGUGAUUCAACUAUGGGUGACUGGAGCUCAAAGCUGGUGUGUGGUAUGUAAUGUAUGAAUGAUGAGUAGAAAAAUUCAUUUACUUUAUAUAUGAACAAGUCUUUAAGCUCUUCAUUCCAUGGCCGAAACAUCCACAACUUCUG